AACGCGAAGAACCUUACCUGGGCUUGAACCGCACAGGACCAUUCCUAGAAAUAGGGACUUCCCGCAAGGGACCUGUGUAGAGGUGCUGCAUGGCUGUCGUCAGCUCGUGCCGUGAGGUGUUGGGUUAAGUCCCGCAACGAGCGCAACCCUUACUCGUAGUUGCCACCCGCAAGGGGGAACUCUACGAGGACUGCUCCGGAUAACGGAGAGGAAGGUGGGGAUGAGGUCAAGUCAGCAUGGCCUUUAUGUCCAGGGCUACACACGUGUUACAAUGCGCGCUACAAAGCGUUGCAAACCCGCGAGGGGGAGCUAAUCGCAAAAAAGCGCGCUCAGUUCGGAUUGCAGUCUGCAACUCGACUGCAUGAAGCUGGAAUCGCUAGUAAUGGCGCAUCAGAACGGCGCCGUGAAUACGUUCCCGGGCCUUGUA
rnacentral:rRNA from 1 species